GCAAUAGAGAGAGAAAGAGAGGGAGAGGAGAGAGAGAGAAACGAAAAAAAAAGAAAAAAGAGAAGGGGGGAGUGAGUGUGCGUGUGUGUGAGUAGAAGUAGGAGGGAGAGCAAGAAAAAUAGCGAGCGAAGCUGAGAAACCAAACAAGGAAUUUCGCAGAAUUCAUCCAUUUUGUACAGACAUUUGCGUGUUUGGCCCAUUUUGGAGUUUUUGUAGGCUUCAUAGCCAGUCAAAGUCGAUCUGAAUGAGUCGUUUAGGGUUUAAAUCCUUGGUUUACCAUGGCGACUUGUUUUUGGGGGAAUUGGAUGUUAUUUCGGUUAAGGAUCAGAAUUUCCAGUUCCCAAACAACGAGAUACGCAUCCACCGGAUUUCGCCACCAAGCGAACGAUGUCCUCCCCUCUCGAUUCUCCAAACGAUUUCUUCAUUUUCCGUUCGUUGCAAGCUUGAAUCGUCUUCUCCCGUCGAUCAGCCGCAUUUGAUCAAUCUUCACGCUUCUUGCCACUACGAAUUGAAGACAGCUGUGGUAUUGGCUGGAGAUGAAGAAAUUCACUUGGUAGCGAUGCUGAGUAAGCAGAAAAAGUAUCCACGCUUUUGGUGCUAUUCAGUUCCGAAAGGUUUGUAUAAUGCUUCUAUAGGAAUGUUGAAUAUGCGGUGUCUAUCGAUCGUAUUCGAUCUUGACGAGACUCUAAUUGUUGCGAAUACCAUGAAGUCGUUUGAGGAUAGAAUUGAGGUUCUACGUAGCUGGAUUGCGCGCGAGAUUGAUCCUAUGCGCCUGGCCGGAAUGAAUGCAGAGCUAAAGCGCUACUGUGAUGAUCGAUUGAUCUUAAAGCAAUAUGCGGACAAUGAUACUGUGAUGGAUAACGGGAAGAUGUAUAAGGUUCAAAUGGAGGAAGUUCCUCCGUUAUCUGAUAACUAUGAAAGAAAAGUCCGGCCUGUAAUUAGAUUGCAAGAUAAGAAUAUUGUCUUAACUCGCAUUAAUCCCGAGAUUCGUGAUACUAGUGUGCUUGUGCGGCUACGACCUGCAUGGGAAGAUUUGAGAAGUUACUUAACCGCAAGAGGAAGGAAAAGAUUUGAAGUUUAUGUUUGUACAAUGGCUGAAAGAGACUAUGCUUUAGAAAUGUGGAGGCUUCUUGACCCGGGGUCACAUCUUAUUGGUUUAAAGCAACUUCUGGGUCGUGUUGUUUGUGUUAAAUCAGGCUCUAGGAAAUCCUUGAUUAAUGUUUUCCAAGAUGGCGUUUGUCACUCAAAGAUGGCAAUGGUAAUUGAUGACCGCUUAAAGGUUUGGGAAGAUAAGGAUCAACCUAGAGUACAUGUAGUUCCAGCAUUCACUCCCUAUUAUGCUCCUCAGGCAGAGACAGCAAAUGCCGUUCCCGUCCUCUGUGUAGCAAGAAAUGUGGCAUGCAAUGUCAGAGGUUGCUUCUUCAAGGAAUUUGAUGAGGUUUUAUUAAGAAGAAUCUCUGACAUUUUUUAUGAAGAUGAUGUGGUAACUUUACCUCCAUCUCCUGAUGUGAGCAAUUACUUGAUGUCAGAGGAUGCUGGUUUUGUACCAAAUGGAGCUCCACCUAUCAAUGAGGGAAUGAAUGGGAUUGAAGUUGAACGUAGAUUGGGCCAGACUGAUGACAGGCAUAUUAUGGAAUCAACUUCACAUUCUAUGACAAACAAUGCUGAUAUAAGAUCUGAAACCUCUCAGGCACCUGUUCCGAUUCUUCCAAAUGCUAUUAACCCUGCAUCUUUGGGACCACUCCUGCCUUCUCAGAGACCUGGUUUGCUUGGACCUCCUGUUAGACGAGAUAGCUUUUCUGAUCAUGACAUGAAACGAGGAGUUGGUGCUUUGAAGUAUGGUAUAGACUUAAGAAAUCAAAGCUCUGGUGAACCUCCAAUUCUAUCUAGAUUUCCUGCACCAAUUUUAGCACCUCCUGUACAUUCACCAGGUGGUUGGUUGGUAGAUGACGACAUCAAUAGAGGACAGGUAAAGAAUCGUCCUUUGGGGCCUCUUCAAGAGUCUGAUGCAUUAAAGCUAGACAAGCAACGAGUUCAUCAGAACGCAACUUCUUAUAUGCCUUCGAGUUCUACUUCUGCUGGUUUACUUUCACAAACAUCUGAGGUCAAGGCUGAAGAGGCUCACAUUGGGAAUAAUUUGCAGAUGCCAAAACUUCCUCUUGCCAGUCAGCUACCUGUUUCUGGUGUAUUGCAAAAUCAGCCAUUUUUCAACAAUAGAGACCUCCAUGCUGAAGGUGGAAAGCUGAACCUGCUACCAUCUCCUUUAUCUAUAGGAGUCCUGCAAGAAAUUGCACGAAGAUGCAGCUCAAAGGUUGAAUUUAAGUCUGUUCUUAGCACCAGUAAGGAUUUGCAGUUUUCUGUUGAGGUACUGUUCACUGGCGAGAAGAUAGGCGUUGGAAUGGGUAAGACUAGAAAGGAUGCCCAACAACAAGCUGCUGAGAAUGCCCUUCAUAACUUAGCUGAAAAAUAUGUAGCUUAUAUUGCACCUCGCUCUGGAGCUGCUGUAGACAGGGAUUUUAAUAAGCUUUCUCUUGGAAACGACAAUGGAUUUCUAUGGGAUACUAUCAAGCCUGGAUCAACAGAAGCAGUUAAAGAAGAUGAGCCGGCCAAAGAAAGCAGUUCCGAGGUGGGGAUUCUUAAAUGAUGCUUUCAGUAAUUGAUUUGAUAUUUUAUGCUCAAGAACAUAGGUGAUGCUUGGAUAAAGGGUAUGUGGGCAAAGACAUUUCCAGGUAAAGGUUAGUGGUUAUCUACUGAAAACCACUCCUUUUUCAAAUUUUGCAUUGGACCAAUGUGAUGGCUAAAACACUGAAAAAGGGGAGUGAGCUUACUCCAUGUCUGCUACUGCUGCAUGUCCAGCUCCAUUAGUUCAUUUUUUAAAAGGCUUCUGACAUUGAACCUGGGAGGACAUCUUCCACAGCAGUCAAUCAGCAAGUGCAAAAGCGUGCCAAUUCCCCGAGAUUGCAGCAAUCUUCUCCAAGUAAACGAUUGAAGGAAGAACUUCAGCAAGGUUCGCAAAACUCAACCCCUUCAUGGCAGCAAAAAAAUGGACAUUCAGAAGUUUCAUGAGUAUUGGGAGAUUUUUUAGAGCAGAGAAAAAGAAGAAAAACACAAGAAUAUAAGAAAAAAGUUUUCAGGCCGAAAAUUUGGCAAAUACAGUUGGAGAUAGCUCGUCCUUAGCUCACUCUAAAUUAGCAGCCAGGUAGCUAACACAGGUAGCUUCAUUCCCUUACGGCGACGAAGCUGUUGCCACCAAUGGAUCCUCUUCACCAACUUCUUAUUACCCUCAAUUUUCAUCUUGGGCUUUUUCUUUGAAUGGUGGCCACCCACAUGCCGUACUAGCCCCUCCACAAGACUUCCAGUCCUCCAUGUCUAAUAUUUGCAUCUUUCUUCUUGGAGUGGAACAUAUUUUUCAAUAGCUUCCAGUUGCUAUGGUGAUGGUGGUGGUGGUGGUGAUGAUGAUGAUGAUGCUGGUGAUGGAAGAUGAACCCUAACUUGUUUUUCAUCCUCCUCAAUCGUCCGAUGCCUUUUUCCGAGUCUGGCCUUUGGUUUGGUACAUUUGUUUUACUCCGACUUAGUCCAGUUCUUUCGGAACUGGAGCUACUUUGUCGCAUGCUUUUGUCAUCCUCUGCAGAGCUUGGAGUCAAAUACGAUCCACUUUCACUUUCUUGGCCUUGUGAGGAUGAAGGAUAUGAACUUGAUGAGCUGGUCUCUCCGGAAGACAUAAUUAUCUUUUGUUGGGCUUUCUUUCUUCUCUGAUUACCUUCAUCUGUCUGGUCCAGUAGAGUUGGCCUCAUGAUUAUCUGAUGUGUUAAUGGCUUUAUCUUCUUCCUCAUGUUUGACUCAUGAUUCAACUUGCGACUCAACUGUUGAUGAUGAUGAUCAUUAGAUGACAUGAGGGGUGGUACCAUUGAUCUCCUUUCUUCUCUAGUUGUUUCUUUCCUGACUGUGGGAUCAUCAUUCUGAUCGAGUGGCACCCUUAAGCCUUGAACAUAGCUAGUCCGUUGACUGGCACCACUAGCAGGUUGGCUCAUCGAUUCGAUUUUGUCCACCAUUGUCUUCACAUUCUGACCAGAAAAUCUACUCUCAUAAGCCUGACUCGCAAGCUGACCCGAUGAUUCAUUUCCACCCCAACUUGACUUGCCAAUACCACGACUCAUCUUGCUCUCCAAUAAUGCCAUAAACAAAGUGUUGUCAUUGUUUCUAACAGGAGUACUAGUCUUCAAAAGUUGCAAAGCCAAAAUGUGGGAAUCUAAUUGUUUAAUUGCUUUUGCUACUUCCUUAGAGAAGUCAUUAAUCUCUCUAACAUCAUCAGACUUUUUCCCAGUAGAAACUGAUACAAAUGAAGUGGAACAACCAACUGAACUCGUGACAAUAUUGCUUGGACUUGGAUUUGAUAUAUCGAAAUCAAUCCUUUUCCUUAUUAUUAUUUCGCCACCUUUCGUGUCGGAAUGAUCUAGGGCCUUCUCGAUUUUCUGUUCAUCACCAUUAUUAAUAUGGCUAAUUCUGUCCUCUUUGCUUUCAGCUUUGUUUGAUGUGACGCUUAGUCUGGAAACAACUACUUCAUGAGGAGAGUUUAACUUUGUGGCUUGCGGACUCUUAAAUAUACCUGAUUGAUCAUGACUCAUUGAAAGUAACUGAAAAAAAAAAAAAAUGAAGCAUGCAUUGAAUUUUUAUCAGAAACAUGAUAUGGAUAGUUGAAAUAAAUACAAAAUGGUAUGACAUGGUUAAUUUA